rnacentral:rRNA from 1 species
GGGAUGAUUGUUCUGUGACUGAGUGGCGGACGGGUGAGUAACGCGUGGAUAACCUGCCUCACACAGGGGGAUAACAGUUGGAAACGACUGCUAAUACCGCGUAAGCGCACAGCACCGCAUGGUGCAGUGUGAAAAACUCCGGUGGUGUGAGAUGGAUCCGCGUCUGAUUAGCUGGUUGGCGGGGUAACGGCCCACCAAGGCGACGAUCAGUAGCCGGCCUGAGAGGGCGACCGGCCACAUUGGGACUGAGACACGGCCCAGACUCCUACGGGAGGCAGCAGUGGGGAAUAUUGCACAAUGGGGGAAACCCUGAUGCAGCGACGCCGCGUGAGCGAUGAAGUAUUUCGGUAUGUAAAGCUCUAUCAGCAGGGAAGAUAAUGACGGUACCUGACUAAGAAGCUCCGGCUAAAUACGUGCCAGCAGCCGCGGUAAUACGUAUGGAGCAAGCGUUAUCCGGAUUUACUGGGUGUAAAGGGAGCGUAGGCGGUCCUGCAAGUCUGAUGUGAAAGGCCGGGGCUCAACCCCGGGACUGCAUUGGAAACUGUAGGACUAGAGUGUCGGAGGGGUAAGUGGAAUUCCUAGUGUAGCGGUGAAAUGCGUAGAUAUUAGGAGGAACACCAGUGGCGAAGGCGGCUUACUGGACGACUACUGACGCUGAGGCUCGAAAGCGUGGGGAGCAAACAGGAUUAGAUACC